rnacentral:lncRNA from 1 species
GGACAAACAAUAUAAACAAAUAAUCAAUUUAUGACAAGCCCUGCUUUUAAAAUUACAGGUUAUAUGUACACUUAACGAGAAACAGAAAAAGCAUUUCUAAAUGAUAUAGGAAAGUAGCAAUAAUCCAUCAUGAUCACAUUUUCACAUUUUUAUGGUUAUAAAAGCACACACUGACAUAUUCAAAUAACAUUUGGUGACAUGUAAUUCUCUCCAUGAAGUGGUCAAACCCAAGAGCCACCAGGACCAUCAUUCUGUCGUCAACCGGGCAUGGCCAUGGGGUGGGAGGGUAUGUGAGUUGUUCGUGUCAGGGAAUCGCAGACACAGAGCUCAAGAAGGACCCAGCUGUGUUGUGUGCUGUUGUAGGACCCUGGAGCUAGCACAGGGGGCUGCGGUCUGGGCCUGAGCUUGGCCACAGUGGAGAGUGACAUCAUAGAAUCAUGGAGCCCUUGAGUUAGAGAGACCAGAGAGCCAGUCCAACCCAGUCCAUCACCUGGAGGCUGGAGAACCACGAGGCUGUUGCCUGUUCGUCCCCCUCUUCUGAGAGGUCCAGGUCACCUGCUCUGGGAGAAGCCAGUUGCCAUGUUGUAAGGACACUCAAGCAGCCCAUGGAAUGACUCACAUGCUGAAGAACUGAGCCCUCCCUCCUUCCAACAGCCAGGGAGGAACUAGGGCUUCUUGCCAAUAACCAUGUGAAGAAGCUUGGAAAUGGAUUCUCCCCCAAAUGAGUCUUCAGAUUACUUUAGACUAACAUCUUGACUGCAACCUCUAGAAAGACCCUGAGCCAGGAUCACCAAGCU